UGUAGGAAUCUAACCACCCUGAAUGUGCCUGAGCUCAUCUGAUCUCCAGAGCUAAGCAGGGUUGGGCCUGGGUAGUACUUGGAUGGGGGGAAGGUCUGAGUUGACAGUUC
rnacentral:rRNA from 1 species